CACAUUUUUUGCUCUGUAAUGGGAUGGGAUCCGAAGCCCCUUUGAGGGAUAAUACAGGCUCUCCCAUCCAACUCCUAUUCCGACACGUCCUCGUCGUGCAGAGUG
rnacentral:ribozyme from 1 species